CAACAAUGCAUAGCCAAUUUCUUCAACUUGUUCUUGCUUCAAGUAGACAACCGUGCCGAAAGAGAUGUACACAACGGAUGAUGGUGGCUUUUUGUCAAGCCAGUCUAUGCAUUCAUCGGGUUUCAUGCAGUCAUCGCGGACGGUUAAGGUUGGAGCUUUAGGGUUUUUGAACAGAGGGCCGACGGGUUUAAUAGGGCAAAUUUUUGCCAUGUAAUCGAUAAUCUCUUUCUCAAGCUCAUAGAAAGUGUCCAACAAUAUGCAAAACGGCUUGCCAAGAUUUUCGUACUGCCCCAAAAUAGCUCUUCUCAAGAAAGGAUAAGGAGUUGACGGAUGCAAGAAGCUAGGCACUUCAUCAUGCUUCAGUAGUGGCAUGCACGGCAACUGAACAUCAAUUUCGGGUUCUUUUUCACUAGGAAAUGGAACCAAACCGUGAAAGUAAUGGUAAUAAGCAGCAAAACAAGCA
rnacentral:lncRNA from 1 species